AUGGUGGUAACGGGUAACGGGGAAUUAGGGUUCGAUUCCGGAGAGGGAGCCUGAGAAACGGCUACCACAUCCAAGGAAGGCAGCAGGCGCGCAAAUUACCCAAUCCCGACACGGGGAGGUAGUGACAAUAAAUAACAAUACGGGGCUCUUUCGGGUCUCGUAAUUGGAAUGAGUACAAUUUAAAUCCCUUAACGAGGAACAAUUGGAGGGCAAGUCUGGUGCCAGCAGCCGCGGUAAUUCCAGCUCCAAUAGCGUAUAUUAAAGUUGUUGCAGUUAAAAAGCUCGUAGUUGAAUUUCGGGAUUGGCGCAUCGGUCGUGCCUCACGGGGUAUGAACUGGUGCAGUCAAUUUCUCACCUUCUGGAGAACCGCGAUGUCCUUAAUUGGAUGCCGCGGGGAACCAGGACCUUUACUUUGAAAAAAUUAGAGUGUUUAAAGCAGGCAUUUUUGCUUGAAUACAUUAGCAUGGAAUAAUAAAAUAGGACGGCAUGGUUCUAUUUUGUUGGUUUCUAGGACCACCGUAAUGAUUAAUAGGGAUAGUUGGGGGCAUUAGUAUUCAAUUGUCAGAGGUGAAAUUCUUGGAUUUAUUGAAGACUAACUACUGCGAAAGCAUUUGCCAAGGAUGUUUUCAUUAAUCAAGAACGAAAGUUAGGGGAUCGAAGACGAUCAGAUACCGUCGUAGUCUUAACCAUAAACUAUGCCGA
rnacentral:rRNA from 1 species